GCGCGUCUAAGCAUUUUGCAAGAACGGUAAACAUUGCAAUCCAUACAAGAGGGAUGAGUAUACGAUUUGGCUUACCCUCGCCACAAAUUAGGUUACAAGAUCCACACAACAUUUAUUCAAAUCAUUCAGAAGGCAGGGUCCGACUACGGACAAGAUAAACAACAAAAGCAAUGUUCUUGCCUCGCUAGGCCCACGAUCACGACCAAAUACGUCUAGUCAUCGGGGUACAUCACGUACAUCCGGCUACUGUCCUCGUCAAACUCCCACUUCAACUGGUUGUCCUCGUAAGCAUCUGCUUCUGCGUUACCUGUACCUGUGGGGUGGUUGUAGUAAUCCGUGAGCCACAAGGAAUAGCAAUCUCAUGACCAUGUCAUCGAAUCUAACUAACUUGUUGGGUAAGGAUGGGGUAUGUGUUUGAGUUUGCAGCAACACUAAGCAUUUAUGGUGGCUAACUUAUGUUGAACAUGAAUUAAAGGUAUAGUGGUCUACGCAUGACGUUCGUUAACUAAGAAUAAUCACUAAGUGAUCCUGAACACCUACUUACGUCAGUCAUAACCCCACCGUGUUCUCGAUCAGAGAAGGAACUCUGAAGGAAACAGUCACGGUUACGCACACAGUUGGCAGGUUUUAAUCAAAUUAGUUUAAGUUGUCCAGAACCGUAUGUUAACAAAGUUUCCAUGUUUGCCACAUAACCGCGGGCACGACUUUCAAAAAAGAAUUUACCCUGCAGGGGUGCUCCAACUAAUCCAUCACAAAUUAUCACAGGCCACAUAGAAAUCCUCGAUCACGAAACUCGCGAUCUCGUCGGAUUCCUUAAUAGGAAAACCUCAACUCUGAGGAAAAACCCAAAGUCUCACCGGAAUCCCAAUGCACAAGAUACAUCGUUAAGGUAAGACAAGUCCAGCAAGACCACCCGACAUGGGGACGACCCCGAUAAGAGCCGCGUAUCUCAAUCUCAGGACACGUCGGAUAAGCACAACGUACGAUGGCCUGAUAGACAUCUCCCGGGUUGCCCUGGGUUUGCCCCGCAAACGGCUCGAGGUUGGACCAACACUCAUGAGGAGCACUGGCCCGGGGGUUGGUUAAGUUUCCUCGGGGUAGCUAUUCCCUAUGCUUUAAUUAUUAAGUUGUUUGCAAAUUAACACCAAAGUUGGGUCUUGCCAGACAAGCCUUAGACUAAACAAUUUACCAAGGGGGUCCCCAUAACAACCCCGAACGUUUUAGGAGCGCUCACUUAUGGAAUAAAAGAACUGUUAGUCGAAACUAAGGCGACAAAAGUGAAACAAAUCACCUAGCAAAAGGCCAGAUCUUCCGCCUUUUACCAAGUAUAUAGNNNCAUUAAUUAAAUAGCAUUUAAUAUAAGAUGAUAAUAAAAUUCCCAUGUUAUCACAUGGACCAGCUUGCACCUGCAACUACCAAUUCUAUCAAGUGGUUGUGUGUAACGACUAAGAUGCGGCCCUUUCCUAUUUUGGGGGCGAGACUUCAAAAGGGAAAGGGGCGCAUCUAAACGUUUCGCAAGCGUGAUAAUCAUAACAUUACAUAACUGAAAGAGUGGCAAGUAGGGCAUACACUUGCCAUCUGAUAAGAGUAUAGCAUUAAGCUUACAACCACACAUUAUUCAGAGCAUAGUUUAGUCCCUCUACGGAGAACAUGAAACAAGUAAAACUAUGACAUCCCGCAUGCUAGCCCCACGAUCACGACCACGGCCUCAGUCCUCUGGAUAGUUCAUGUACAGUAGACCGGAAUCCUCAUCGAACUCCCACGUCAGCUGACUGUCAUCAGGAUCUCCUGCGCCGGGCAUACCUGUACCUGUUGGUGUUUGUAGUAAUCUGUGAGCCACGGGGACUCAUCAAUCGAAUGAUCUUGGUAUCGAAUCUAGCCAAGUUAUUGGGUGAGGAAGGAUAGUGAAUGGGUUUGCAGCAACCUAAGCAUAUAUGGUGGCUACCUUACGAUGAUCAGAGUAAUCAUAUGGUGGUCUACGCGAGCGAUCGAAGACUAGGUUGAUCACUAAGUGAUCCUAAACACCUACUUACGUCAGACAUAACCCCACUACGUUCUCGAUCAGAGAACGAUCUCUGAAAGAGACAGUCACGGUUACGCACACAGUUGGCAGUUUUAUCAGAGUUACUUCAGGUUGUCUAGAACCGGAUGUUAACAAAAUAUCCAUAUUUGCCACAUAACCGCGGGCACGACUUCCCGAAAGAUUUAACCCUGCAGGGGUGCUUCAACUAGUCCAUCACAAACUGCCACAGGCCCCAAAGUAAUCCUCGAUCACGAAACUUGUGAUAUCGUUGAAUUCCUUAGAGGAAAACAUCAACUUUGAGGAGACCCAAAGUUUCACCGGAAUCCCAAUGCGCAAGAUAUAUCGCUAAGAUAAGACAGAUCUGGCAAGAUCUCCCGACGUGUUGACGAACCCGAUAGGAGCCGCGUAUCUCGUUCUCAGGACACGGCGGAUUGUCCAAACUUCCGGUAGGCCAGUCACAGAGUUGCCCCUGGUAGCCACCGGCGGUUGACAGGUUGGACCAACACUCGUGAGGAGCACUGGCCCAGGUUGUUGAUUAAUUCCUUAGGGUAGCUAUUCCCUAUGAAAAUAAUUAUUAGGUUAUUAGCAAAUUGAAAUCAAUGUUGGGUCCUGACAGACAAGCCUUAACACUACACAAUUUAUCAAGGGGGUCCCCAUAACAACCCCGAACGUGGUAGGAGCACUCAGUUAUGGAAUCAAACAUCAGUAACCGAAACUAAGGCGGCAACAACAGAACAAAUCACCCGACAAAUGGCUAGGCCUUCCGUUAUUUACCAAGUAUAUAGGUGCAUUAAUUAAAUAACAGUUUAAACAUAAUGAUAUCAAAAUACCCAUGUUGUCACAUGGGACAGCUGGCACCUGCAACUAGCAAAGCUAUCCGUUAGGGGUUGAGCAAGCCUACUUAGCCAGACAAUAUUUGCUAGGACAGGGAAGUGUUUGGGGUUCAUGGCAAAGACAUGUAGCAUCUAUAUCAAGUGGUAGGCAGCGAGCAUGUAACGAAGGAAACGUGAUUCUAAGCAUAACAAAGCUAGAAACGGUGUCAAGGACACGGUCAUCUUGCAUGUGGUUUCUUCGGUCUGGAACUGCUUUUGUUCUUCCUGGACGAACUCUCCGGACUCCUCGUACUCGUUUCCGGCCCCGGUAACUACCCAAAAGAAACAACAUCUAAUAAACACCAGCAAAAAAUGAUGCAAUAGACAACAAUAUGCAUGAAUGUACUCCGCCAAACAAGUACAUGAAAACAGCCCUACAUCGAUAAAUCUAUUGCCACCUCAUCACAAGGGGAUUUUUACUGAGAUGCCCAAAACCAGAAAUUAACAACACCAUUGGAUUCACUGGGAUUUUCUACCCCAAAUCCAUAUAUCACACUACCACUUUUGCAUCUAGAAAAACAUCACAAGCAGGAAAAGGAAUCUGACAUAGAAUCAACUACAACAUUAAUUCAAGAACAUGGACUGUUCUUGGGCCAGCCCAAAUUGGCAUAUGCCAGAAUAGGCAAAUUCCUUAUUAGGAAUUAUCCCAAAGAUGGAAUCUAUCACCUCAACAGAAAUAAUAAAGGGGAAAAAUAAAAAUAAAAACACUAAAUCUAACAGCCAUGGCCCACUGGUCAGUGACACAAAACAACAUAUUAACAUUGAAAAACUAAAAGGGAGUGGUGGAGUUAGAACCCACCACCUCUCUAUGCAUCACAGAGGCAAGCACCACUUUGCUAUGCAAAGCUAGUUACUCUAAGAGGGGAGAGAAAAAAAAAACAAAACUUUAAAAGGGCUAGAACCCUGGACCUCUUGCAUUGUGUGCGACUCGGUUGCCACUAGGUUAUACUACGACUACUGACCCAACAGAGCUAACACUUGAGGUAACCUAUAAAUGCAACUACUACAAGAAGGGAAAAACCUCAGGUAAAUAAAAAGGUGGGGGUCUGGGAAUUUAACCCCCGACCUCGUGGUUGUGCACAAGCUAGCAACCAUUACUUAGAGGUUUCCAUUCUCGGGGGAAGCUAGCUUCUACAGCGUAGAGGGACGAUGAUGCUCAAUCCGAACCAAGCUUUGCCUUGGACAUGGCGGUCACGAGAACGAAGCAGGGGCACUGUGGCAGGCGAGGCACGAUAGGGCGGCGAUGCAGCAGUGGAGAGCAGGCUGGCUAACGCGUGCGGGUUGCGGGCGUGCGCUGGAACGGGAGCUCCGUGGGUUCACAGCAAAACAACCGCCGCUUCCUUUACAGAAGAUCUUCUUCAGAGAAGAGAACGGGAGCGCGGCGAGCACAACGAUGUCACGGCUUACAGAAGAUCUACGCUUACGGAUGGCUAGCGACGCGACGGAGAGGGGGAAGGAAGAGGGGGGUCAUACCACCUCACCUAGGGCAUGAAAACGAUGUGGAACGAGGCUUCAGAAGGCGACGGCGAGCUGCUGAAGUCUGGCGCGCAUCCGAACCGGUUCUGCCUGAAGAAGAAGAGGAAGCAGACGACGUCGAGGCGACUCCUUGGGACCCCGCGAGCCGUCGAAGACGGAGAGGAGCACGGGGAGGAUCCCUUCCCGUGCACCAGAGGGCGAGGGAGCGACGGAGAUCAACUCCGGGCCCGAGCUGCUGCUCGGCUGGAGCACGGCGGACGCGGCGACGGCAUGGCGCGAAGCUAUCUUACCUAGCGGCGGCGAGGCGAGGUGGAGGGAGAAAUGGGUCUAGGGAAACUAGGGCAACGUGGGGGACACAACUUAUAGGUGGCUCGGGCUCUCUCCGACCGUCAAAUCGACCGGACGGCUACGUGGCUCCCCUGGAUGGCUGCCGUAUAGAGGAGCACGAAGACUCCACUCAGGGGCUGGCUGGGCUGCGCUGCUAGCUGGGCCUGGGGGAAGAGGGA
rnacentral:lncRNA from 1 species